rnacentral:lncRNA from 1 species
AGGAGAGGAGGGGAGAGUGAGGGCUCUGUGGGAGAAGGCCUGCAAAAGGCAACUCCUCUAUGGAAUGUGGAGCCUCAGAGGACAAAGUGUCUCUAUUGCCAUCUGGCCUCGUAGAGAGUAAAGCAGGAGGCGCUCACGCACUGACCAGGGCUGAGUACAGCUGAGGUUCCUUCUUUGAAAUAAGCAAUGGUGUUCUGCAUGAGACACAGAGGGAUACUGUUUCUGGGGUCGGGGCCAUUUUCUGUCACUGAGUGCAGACCUUGGCUCCAAUCUUCUUGCCAACAAAUCCCAAAGAGCCUCUGACUGGCUACUCCGUGGUACGGGAAGCCUCUGACUGGCUACUCCGUGGUACGGGAAGCCUCUGACUGGCUACUCCGUGGUACAGGAAGCCUCUGACUGGCUACUCCGUGGUACAGGAAGAGUCAGAUUGCAGGUGAACUCUGGGUUUCUGCCGUCCCUGGAGGACUGACCCACAGUACCUCAGAGGAUCGUGUGUGGCUUCAACACGAGCGAAACACAUCUGCUUCUCCCUCUGGCUGUGCUCUGGAAUUUCUGCCUACUCCAUGGAAAAGCAGGGUGGCUAUUCCCACUACUCAAGGAAGGUCUUUCUCGGGGCAGCCUUUUUAAAAGCAGGACGCUGGGAUGAUCUCCAGGACACAUCUAUGAUCUCAGUGGUCUGCCCUGCAGCACGUGGCCUACUCAGCUUGUUCCAUGCUGUGCAUUCACACAGCGAGUGAAUGCUCUCUGGGCGCCAGUGGAACAUCUUUCUCCCCUACCUUGAGCCCUGAGGAUCUGCAUGAGAAGUGUUCUCAUCUUCCUGCGAGGACACUCAGUCCAGGUCCCUCCUAAAGACAAAACUCUUCACCAAUGGUACCUACA